UACAGAGGUCUCAAGCGUUGUUCGGAUUCAUUGGGCGUAAAGGGUGUGUAGGUGGCGCCGUAAGUCGGGUGUGAAAUUUCGGAGCUUAACUCCGAAACUGCAUUCGAUAACUGCGGUGCUUGAGGACUGGAGAGGAGACUGGAAUUCAUGGUGUAGCAGUGAAAUGCGUAGAGAUCAUGAGGAAGACCAGUGGCGAAGGCGGGUCUCUGGGCCGAUGACUGACGCUGGAGGAGCGAAAGCGUGGGGAGCAAACAGG
rnacentral:rRNA from 1 species